UUCAAAGUGAAUUUCAAAUCCAAGUUGAAAUGGCACACAUGGGACAAUUCUCCAAGUCAUCUUGGCUCCCAGUUCUGUUAGCUUGGCUUUCAGUUUGAAUUUAAUCUGAGACCACCAUGACCUGGUCACAUGAUGGACGCGGAUCACAUGACUCCUUUUCUGAUUACAGGUGUCCCGGGAUGGGGAGUGGCGCUCCUCGUUAUGACCUCGCUCAUCCUGUCCUACCUGCUAAUGUGCAUGUUCUGCCUGGUAAGCCUCACCCAAACAUCCCGCACGCUAUACCUUCCCUCUGUUUGCAGACGCCAUUUAAUAUUAUUACUGUGAGAUGAUCCUGUUACAUGCUGCAGGAAGGGGAGAUUCAAUAUCAAAGCCCACAGGCCAUCCCUUGUGACGCAGUUACAGUGUAUAGAUCACGACGCUGCAGUCUCACUGCUCAAUUCUCUGCCUUUUAGGAGUUAAAUCACUUUGUUUAUACAGCCCUGGUCACUCCUACUGCAUUUGACUUACGCAGCCUUCCUAAACACUUCCUGUAAAGAGUCAUCUAAUGUUUACACUUCCUUUAUUGCAAAUUCUGUUUAAUUUAGAAUUUCCCAUCGCCCUGCUAGACCAUGCAUGAAUCUCCAGUAUAUAAUUAAAGUUCAAUUGAUAGAGCAGGAAAUAGAAUCUUUUAAAGUAACUUACAUCUGACUGAAAUUGAAACCAUUUUUUCACGUAGAGUAGGUCAGUCACAGCCAGGGGAGGUGCGGCUAGAACUGCAUAAACAGAAACAAAAGUGAUUUAACGCCUAAAUGGAUGAGAAUUGAGCAGUGAGACUGCAGAGGCAUGAUUGAUACACCAAAACUACUUCAUUAAGCUAAAGUUGUUUUGGUGACAAUGUCCCUUUAAAAUUUGCAAAAUGCAUUUACUAAAUCAUGAAAACAGCAGUGGAAAGAAGUGAACUAAACUCUGCAGGUGCUUUAUCCACAUACUAUCAAAAUAAACUCCACCCAAAAUAAAUAAAAUGCAGCAGAAAAGGCAAUAGCUUGCGCUAGGAAUGCACAGUCUUUUUUGUUUAAACGUCACCAUGAUAUUUUCAAUGUGUCUCGUUCCAGCCCAUGCUGAGCAAGCAUCACGGAGGCGGACAGUCUGGACAUUGCAGCUAAUCAGAUCCUGCUGGAGCACAGCGGUAACAAGGCAGUGGAUUGUGUUAAAAGCGGUUUAAUAAAAUGUAUUUAUUCACAG
rnacentral:lncRNA from 1 species